GCCACCUCCGCCGCCUCUGCCCCGUCCACCUUAUCGGCCAACGACUUCGGAGACGGUGAUGAGGCCUCAUCUAAACAUCGACUGGAACCGGCGUUUCAGAAACAUCAGUCCUCUACCACCGGCUGAUCCACGGAGAACAUCAACACUCACCCGGGCUAUGGAGGAGCUCGCCCUAGCACUUCGUUCAUCACUGCCAUGGGGGCAUUCACUCAGGCCCCCAAAUAUUCAUCAGGACGCAGAAACAGGCCUGCCUCCAUGGAUUUUGAAAAAAGUCGAGUUCCCGUUGAACUUCUGCUCUCCGCCCGCGGCGUUCUACUCUGAACAGAAAUCUUGAACCACCGCAGAACCAGAGCACCUGUGUGGAUGGACAAUGAUUCCCCUCAGACCUUCUACCUGCCGCUGCGUGCUGGCUGCCUGUACAUCCGUUACACCCCUGACACGGCACCGAACAUUUUGAUGUUUCCUGGGACACCUCUCAGCUUCAUGGAAAUCCCAGCUCUUGACAGGCGUUUUUGGACAAAUGGUACAACCAUGCCAAAGGACUCAAUGGACAAGUACAUUCUGAAUAGAUGUACAUUAAAGAGAAAGGAUUAAAAAGAAGUAAGGAUUAGCUUUUCAGAAUAAAAAACUCAAAGAGAUUUCUUUGAUAAGAGUUUAAUAUGUCAAGCAAACAAUAAAACAGAAAGGGAACAUGUUUUCUAAAUGUUAAUACAAUUGAGGGCAAAUAUUGGUUAUAUAAAAACAUAAAUUAGAUAUGAUAAAUGCAAGAAUAAAUAAAGUAAAUAAAUUAAAUAAAUAAACAACAAAUAAAUAACACCUGGGCAGUCAUCUCUUACAGACAGAUGCCUUGGGAGAUGAAUAUUUUUAACGUAUUUUUGCUUAAUACUAACAAAGUAGUCGCUGAAUUAAUUAAAUAAAUUCUCUACUAAAGCAGGGAUGAGAGUCUUUUGAAGCGAACAGGGCAGGGGUGAUGUGGCAGGUCCCUCAAUGAGAAUCAGCUCAAGG
rnacentral:lncRNA from 1 species